CAUGAAUGGAGGAGGCUUGAGGCCCUCACCAGAUGCACAUGCUGGCACCAUGCCGCUUUUACAGCCUGCAGAAUCGUGAGCCACGUAUGUACAGCUACAAAUUUCCUUCUCAGCACCGUUUUCACAGCAUCCCAGAAGUUUUGCCUGGACUUUAACCACGUGGAAAGCAAGAUUAGAGGCCCCCUGAAUAGUACUGUUCACGAAGACUAAAAGGAACUGAGUGUGCCUGAGCUUAAGCAUCACGAAGACCAGUAAUAAAGAACUAUUUACAAA